rnacentral:tRNA from 1 species
GUUAAGGUGGCAGACCCCGGAUAGUGCAAAAGACCUAAACUCUUUAUAUAAAGGUUCAAAUCCUUUUCUUAACU